rnacentral:rRNA from 1 species
AUUGAACGCUGGCGGAAUGCUUUACACAUGCAAGUCGAACGGCAGCACGGACUUCGGUCUGGUGGCGAGUGGCGAACGGGUGAGUAAUACAUCGGAACGUGCCCAGCCGUGGGGGGUAACGUAGCGAAAGCUACGCUAAUACCGCAUACGAUCUACGGAUGAAAGCGGGGGAUCGCACGACCUCGCGCGAUUGGAGCGGCCGAUGGCAGAUUAGGUAGUUGGUGGGGUAAAGGCUCACCAAGCCGACGAUCUGUAGCUGGUCUGAGAGGACGCCCAGGCACACUGGGAGUGAGACACGGCCCAGACUCCUACGGGAGGCAGCAGUGGGGAAUUUUGGACAAUGGGCGCAAGCCUGAUCCAGCCAGUCCGCGUGCAGGAUAAAGGCCCUCGGGUUGUAAACUGCUUUUGUACGGAACGAAAAGGCUCUGGUUAAUACCCGGGGCUCAUGACGGUACCGUAAGAAUAAGCACCGGCUAACUACGUGCCAGCCGCCGCCGUAAUAC